rnacentral:rRNA from 1 species
AUUGAACGCUGGCGGCAUGCCUUACACAUGCAAGUCGAACGGUAACGCGGGGCAACCUGGCGACGAGUGGCGAACGGGUGAGUAAAGCAUCGGAACGUGCCCAGUAGUGGGGGAUAGCCCGGCGAAAGCCGGAUUAAUACCGCAUACGACCUACGGGUGAAAGGGGGGGAUCGCAAGACCUCUCGCUAUUGGAGCGGCCGAUGUCAGAUUAGGUAGUUGGUGGGGUAAAGGCCUACCAAGCCGACGAUCUGUAGCUGGUCUGAGAGGACGACCAGCCACACUGGGACUGAGACACGGCCCAGACUCCUACGGGAGGCAGCAGUGGGGGAAUUUUGGACAAUGGGGGGCAACCCUGAUCCAGCAAUGCCGCGUGAGUGAAGAAGGCCUCGGUGUAAGCUCUUUGUCAGGGAAGGAAACGGUAGAGUUCUAAUACAGCUUGCUAAUGACGGUACCUGAAGAAUAAGACACCGGCUAACUACGUGCC